AAAAUUCAGAGAAUCAAAACAUAGUUGAAUGCAUAUGUUGAGGGGGAGAAUCUGAAUUUUAAUCAAGCUAAAUCAUUAAUGACAUAUAAGCCAAACAUUUGAGUGCAUAAUAUGAAGGCUUAUAUAAUUCCAAAUGAAAGGGGGAGCUUUAACUCCGAAAUUUGAUGUUUCACUCCUUUCAAACUUGGAUAAAUUAAAUUAUCAGACAUUUUAAUUCAUUUAUGGAUUUUAUUUCAUUAUUUAUUGAGCAAUUCAUUUUACACAUACUCAAAGUUUUGUCAUCAUCAAAAAGGGGGAGAUUGUGGAGUGAUUGAUUAAAACCCCAUUUGAUUUUGAUGAGCUCAAAGCAUUUGAGUAUAUCUUGUGAUUACUAAU
rnacentral:lncRNA from 1 species